GGCUGUAGCUCAUUGGUAGAGCACCCGCCUGGCACAUGUGAGGCACUGGGUUCGAUCCUCAGCACCA
rnacentral:tRNA from 1 species